rnacentral:rRNA from 1 species
AUUGAACGCUGGCGGCAGGCCUAACACAUGCAAGUCGGACGACCGGGGGACGGGUAAGUAAUGUAUGGGGAUCUGCCCGAUAGAGGGGGAUAACUCCUGGAAACGGUGGAUAAUACCGCAUACUAUCGAUUGAACCCAUAUGGGAUUAGCUAGUUGGUGGGGAAAAGGCUCACCUAGGCGACGAUCUCUAGCUGGUCUGAGAGGAUGAUCAGCCACACUGGGACGGAGACACGGCCCAGACUCCUACGGGAGGCAGCAGUGGGGAAUAUUGCACAAUGGGCGCAAGCCUGAUGCAGCCAUGCCGCGGGUAGGAAGAAGGCCUUAGGGUUGUAAAGUACUUUCAGCGGGGAGGCGUUACCCGCAGAAGAAGCACCGGCUAACUCCGUGCCAGCCGCCGCGGUAAUAC